CCCUAGCCUAUCAGGGAUCAACAUUCCCAUCUUCGGACCUACAGUAUGUGAUGAUCAUCAUGGAUAUAUGACAACCACUGUAUAUUAUUUACCAGUAUUUUCUUUUCCAAAGAGAAGGUUUAUACCAUCUAUACCUCCACAGUGUGCUGGAUGAGUCAGGCUUUCUGAAGGGAAGACCCUCACCAACACUUCAGGAUCCCAGGCCCCAGCAAAGGUGCAUGGAAGAAAUAAUUCUGGGAGAUUUACUUUUUAUUUCCCCUCAAGCUACGCUGUAUAAGAAACCUCCUAUUCAGCCUCCUUGUUGGACUGUUCCAGCUAUAAAGCACAAUAAAAAUGUCAAAAAUUA